rnacentral:tRNA from 1 species
GCCUGGGUGGCUCAACGGUUGAGCGUCUGCCUUCAGCUUAGGGCAUGAUCCCUGAGUUAUGGGAUCGAGUCCCAUACUGGGCU